CGUCCUCUCCAGUUCUCAGCUCAGCUGGCUUCCUCAGACGAGCGAGCACCGUGGCCUCUUCCCGUCUGCCCGCAGAGAAUAUGAAAACUUCCAACGAGGGACUGUUUCGACGGCUGCACUGUCGCCUGUGACGGGUCAUCAUUCACACCACGGGAAGGAGGGAGCUGGCACCGGGCGCUGGGGGUUGCAGGCUGAGAACCGGCUGGGGUUAACCAUGCAGGCCCGUCCUGCGUCCUGCGUGUGAAGUCUUCCCGGCCGACAGCACAGAGCUGCAAGCCAAAACACGCAGACCCAGCCUCUCGCUGCUGAGCUGAAAAAACUGCGCGAAAUGCAAACCGUGAACCCGGCAAGCCGACGGGCAGGCACGGCUCCGUGAUCGGCGGGCGCGUCUGGCCACACCCGGCAGGUGCAGGCCGCGGGGCUGGUGCUGGUGACACUCGGGUCGGACCUCAGCCAGCACUGGCACCCGAGCGCCCUGGCGUCUGCCCACCCGUGCAGCAGCCCUCCACUCGCCACGCCCUCACUCAGCCGCAGAGGGGCUGGGGCAGCGGGGUGGCCGGCAGAGGGCCGAGGGCAGUGGUAUCCCCCACCCCGCCUGGCUCUGCUGCGGCUCGCCUGCCUGUGGACCCAGCAGUGGUGGUGCCUCUGGGGUCUGAGCCACCUCAGGGACCGGCGGCUGCAUUUCCCUGAGCAGGUGAGACGGCCACUGGUCACUCUGUGGAAUGUUCUCACGAGGACAGAGGAGACACAGCUCUGGAACCCGGCGUGUGCAAAUGAAACCCCCGUUGUAGCCUGAGCGUGCUCAGUCAGUCGUUUUAAUAAUCAAGAGAGAGAAGAUGGCCAAAAGUGAAAUUCACAGACAAGAAAUACUUUAAUUAAAUAUUGUGUAAAAUGAACAUUUUUAUACAGUUAAAUAUCUGAAAAAAUGUACAGAUAAAACAAUCUUAUUGUAGGGUCUUUAACAGUAAAAUCUACCAUGGAGUGAAGCGCUCGAUUCUGAGACAAUGAAGCCAUGAGGGCAUCGACUACUCAAUCUACAACACAAACCGAGUGCGGGGAUGAAGAAACGGCAAACGCUCCGAACGUGGACACGUGCGCUCUUCUGCAGAGCAAACCCUUGCGUACACAAAAUAAAACGGAGGCGAUUUAGUUCCAAAGUGACUUCUCAGGCUUCUCCUGGGGCUGCACGCGCAGCGUCCCGGAGCCAGGCUGGGAGCUGCCGGGCGCUGGGGACUCGGGGUUUGCGUGUUCUGUUGAGUCCCUUGAAUGGAUCCUUUCCCGAGUUGUGCAUGGUUACUUUUGUCCAGAAAGUUUGUAAAAGUCCCUCCUUUUUGUUUUCAAUUUGAUUUCUGCUGUGGUUUGCAAAAUGCUUACUGUGCUGUCUGCAAAGCAUUGAGUGCAGUGGACAACAACUGACCCCUUGGGUCUCACUGCGGGUUUGGCACUGACAGGCACGAUAUCUGGGCGAGGUCAUUCCAGUUUGAAAAGUACAGACGGUGCUAUCGGAUCGGACCACAAAAAUGUGUCAUUAAAAACUUAAAAACCAGCACGGACUCGGGCUCCCGGGAGACCUCGCUGGAGGAGCCUGGGAAGGUGCGGGAGGCAGCAGGAGGGACCAGACAGGAGCGACACCGGAACAGCAGGUUUGUGCUUUUGCUUGUGUGUGGGUUGAGUGUGGGUGUGUGGGUGUGUUUACACCAUAAAUCUCCAAAGAAACACCGGCUGACAAUCGUGGCAUCAGCCCGUGAAAAAACAGCACAAAGGUUUUUUUUUUUUUUUUCCAAAGAAGUCCACUUUUAAGGCAUCAGAGAAGUUAAUGUGG